GGCCAUAGCCCAGCGGUAGGGCAUCUGUUCCGGAUGCAGAAGAUCCAGGAUUCAAUACACCAACUUCUCCUGUUUGGCCU